UCUAAGGAAUUAAUCGGAAACCUACACAUUGUCGAAACGGUGUUCAGUUUUGAGGGGUUUAGCUCUCAGCUUGAACUUUGGAAAGAAAUAAUAUCAGUUUCUAAUAAAGC
rnacentral:misc_RNA from 1 species